CCCCUUUCACAGCCACCUACCUCACGAGUCCACAAUGGGGCCUCCAACAAGGGACUGAGAACAAGGGUCAUAGCUUUCCUUCUGGGCCGAUAGUCUCAGCUCAGUGCAUUUGCCACCCCCUAACCUGUUCCCAGCUUAUCUUAGGAUGAUCAGAAUCUCUCCUGCCAGGCUUUCUGCACAAGGUCACCUACAUGUUCCAGUGGUUGCUCCUAGCCUUGUGUACCCCCUGCCCAGGAAUGGAAAAAAAAAUAUUUUAAAGAGCCAGUCUUACCUGUUUUCCAUCUUCCACCACUGAGGACAGAACAGGAAAAUCAAAGAAUCACCCAUCAGAGCUGUGAUAGUCAAGGACCACCCCAUACCUGAGCAAGAACUCCCUUUAUGACAUAUUUGACAAGUGAGCUUUCAGGCUCCAGUGAAGUCUCCCCCUCUGGGCCAGCACAUUCCACUUGGUGAUAAGUUGUCAUUGUUAGAAUGAUGCUCCCUUACACGGAGUCUAAAUUUGUCUCUCUGUCACUUGUCAGUCAGUUGACAAGCAUUUAUAAAGCAAUUACUAGGACCUGUGCUAAGUGCCAGGAAUACAAAGAAAGACAGAAACAUGGGCCUUCACCUGGAGGAGUUUAUGCUAUGAUGGGAGAGAUCUACAACAGCUCCAGAUUCUCUUUUUUUCUCCACACACUGGGAAGGCAAGAAAAAGAAAAUCCAUUAUAAUAUGUAUCCUCAUGCAAUGAAUUCCUCCAUUGGCCAGGUCCAAAAAGGAAGAAAAAAAAAAAGAAAAAGUAAGAGGAGGAAAUAUGCUUUGAUCUGCAUUCUGAGUCCAUUGUUUUUUUAUCUGCAGAUGGAUAUAUAACAUGUUUUGUCAUAAGUCCUUAGAAAUUCUCAUUAAUUAUUGUGUUGAUCAGCAUUACUAAGUCUUUUAAAGUUGAUUUUAUUUACAAUAUUGCUGUUAACAUGUAAAUUGUUCUCCUAAUUCUGCUUAUUUCACUUUGCAUCAGUUCAUAAAAGUCUUCCCCAGUUUUUCUGAAACCAACCCCUUCACCAUUACUUACAGCAAAAUGAUAUUCCAUCACAUUAAUAUACUGUGGCUUGUUCAAUCAUUCAGAAUUGAAGGACAUCCCCUCAGUUUGCAAUUCUUUAAAUAGUCCAGUUUAAAAUAGGGAAAAACAUAUUGACCUGAGCUUUUGACUAAGCCUGGUCAUCUUUUAUACUGUGUGAAGAGUGAAUCAAACUCUCUUUGUCUAUCAAUCAGCAACUUUUAAGUUAAUCA
rnacentral:lncRNA from 1 species